UGAAGGCUGAUGAUGAGAAGAGAAAUUAAAGAAGGAGGAGGAAGAAGAAGAGAAAAGAAAAAAAUAGGAGGUAAAAGAACGAAUUCUCGGUGAUUAUGGUAAACACGUUGUUGACAAUUUCGCUUGGCGUUGGUGUCUUUUCAAUCACAAAAGACCUUUGUUUCCACCAAAAAGGAUGAUAAUGUUGCUCAUCAGAUCAAUUAAAUGUCUUUAUAAUUAGUUAACUCUAAUGGAUAUUAAAUUGAUUCUCUUUUAAACUGUUUGGUCAAUUAACAACACAAUUAAUCCUUGGGAUCGAGACACUAAUCCGAUGGAAGAUAAUCAACAAGGCGCCAAGAAAACAACAAUCAACUGGUAACUAACCCAAAGUCUAAUUGUUUCACUGUUUAGAUUAGUGAUUAGACAAAAACAAUUAUUUUCUCUUGCUCUCCAAUAACAUCAAACAUUCAUAAUAGUCAAUUGUUAAUCUGAUACUUGAUGAUGGAGAUAAUGAUACAAAUGGAGGAUAAUCAAGGAUGAGUGUAUUCAAGAAGGAGGAUGAAAGGAAGACGGUGGUUGCGGUGGAAAUGGAGGUGGGAAGAGGUGGUGGUUCUGAAAAGGAAAGGAACUAGUGAAAGAACCACUCCUUUGGUAUGGAAAAAGAGAAUAGAAAAAGGGAAGAUAAUGUACCUUGUCUCUUUUUUCAUCUUCUUCUCCUCCCGAAUCAAGGUGAUUUCUACAAAAUGAAAGGGAGGAGUUCGUCUUCAUCACCAUCAUCAUCUUCAUCUUCAUCUUCUUCAUCAAAGGAGUUACUGAUAUUUUCCUCAUCAUCCAUCAAACAUUUUCUUCAUCUUUAGUAUCAUUAUCUUCAUCAUCUCAUGAAUAAUUUGGUCACCUUUCAAUAUCCUUGGUGAAUUCAGUUCUCAAUAUGAACAUCAAGUUAACCAACGACAAUUAACAGGAAAUUUCACAAGUUUCACCUGAGAAUAGCGAUUUGAUUAACUCAUUUAAUUAAUUACAGAAUUCAAUUAAUUAAUUAACCAUAUUUGUUGAUAUUAAUAUUUUCUAUCUCACGAGUUAAUUGUUGAAAAAUAAACUAAACUUUGGUAUAAGUACAUCAGCUGAUCGAAUUUUUCUCAACCCAUUUAUCAACGCAAAUGUUACAAUUUAUAUUGAUCAUUAAUUUAGAAUAUAAUUCGCCCUCUCUCACUCUUUCAUCGACCAACAAUCGAUCAAAAUCUUGGUGAUUAUAUUAUGGAUCUUGAUGGAAAUUGAAUGUUCAUGUUUUUUGAUGAGAAAUUAUCGCUUAUAAUAUAAUAACUUGAUCCGCCUCUAAUUUUCAGAUUAUCGGUACUAAAUCAUUAUCUCUAUUGUAGAGUGGAAAAGAUUAACAUCAUCAUCAUCUCUCUCUCUCUCUCUCAUCCUUUUCUCCUCCUCUUCUUUUUUUCUUUCUUCACUUUUUCCACCAAAUAUACUCCACCCUGAUACAAGACACACUCUCUCACUGAAAAGAAUCCACGAUAAUCAAGGAAGAGGAAAAAGAAUUAGGAAAAUGUGGGCGAAAAUGAACUCCCAACGCCCUAUGAUUAACAUGAAAAGAUUGUGAUCUAGUCUAUUAAACACAUUGAGAAUCAAUGAGACUCAUCCCAGAAUUUUGGUGUUAACCUUAAUAUUUGUGUUCCAUUACACAAUUAAUCUAAUUUAAAGUUUCAAUGAAAAGUUUCUCAGUCCGAAUGCGACUCACCUUCAUUUAGAUCAUUUGAUUGAUAAUUAGUGGCAGUUGAUGAAAAAGGUGAUGAACAUCGUGACGAUGGUUUAUCACUUUCCUUGUCCAUCCAUUUGGUACAAUUAACUUUACACUUGUUUCUAAUAACUGAUGAGAAAAAAGAUAUGAUUGGUUAAUUUUAAUCCGUUUGCUUUUCCAGUAUUUAAUUUAUCUAAUCCAUACCAACCAAGUAAUUCAUUCAUUGUUAUUGCCUCGUAAUCCUGUUACCAUCACCACCAGAAAGAAAAACAAAAGAUUAAUUAAAUUACCAAGACCAAAAAGGAUAAACAAUUUCAAAGUUAAUAAUGAUGAUGAUUAGUGUUGAUUCACAAUCAAAGGCAAUCUGAACCCAUCAUGGAGAUAAAGGAGAGAGAGAGAGAGAUAAAAACAAAAUGGACGCCGCAAGAUGAAACCAGAAAAAGUAAAUUGAAACCCGAAUUUGGUUCAAGUUAUCUGAUCACCAUGAAUCUUGAGUAAUACGAAUCAACAAAUUGUUAGCCUGAUGAACAAGGAACCUUAAUAACAUCAUAAGUUUCGUUGAAAAUUUCAUAUAAAUUGGAAACUCACCAAGAAAAACAACAAUCGAUUCCUCAAUCAGACUAAUGAAUUAACCAUUGGCAACUAAUCAUGAUUAACUUUCUAAUUAGUUAAAUGAUUAUAACUAUGAUAAUAUUAUCAUCUAUUACCAUAUAUGUUUAUUUAAGACAAUCAAAUUAAGAUCAUCAUCUAAUCAUCCAUCCAUCGAUAAUUAAGGAGAAAAGUAGAUGUUUAAUCAUUAAUUGUUGGAAUAGAAUAACAAUUAUUCAAUAAUUUAAUUGAAUUAAUUACUAUUAAUCCAUUGUGGUUAAAAGUAUCGGAUUGUGAAAUGGGAAUCAAAUUUACUCAUUGAAAUUAAAUUGAUCAUGUUGCCACAAUAUUAGAUUAAUCAGUUAACCCUUUUCACAACAAUAACAAUUACAAUUAAUUCCUUGAUUGUUAUUAAUAUGAAUUUAGUUACUUUUGAUUAUGAAAGUUUUAAUCAUAGAUAAUUAACAACAAAAAAAGCAAGAUAUCAAAUACAAUUUAAUUUAAUAAUGAUUGAAAUUUGAUUCUAUCAAUGUAACUGUUAUCGGAACUUUUUUCUG